GGGGUUGUAGUGUAAUUUGGUUAGCAUAUCAGCUUCGGGAGCUGGUGAUCUGAGUUCAAAUCUCAGCAAUCCCA
rfam:Archaeon CG2_30_31_98 isolate CG2_30_31_98 cg2_3.0_scaffold_4484_c, whole genome shotgun sequence.